rnacentral:rRNA from 1 species
AUUGAACGCUGGCGGCAUGCCUUACACAUGCAAGUCGAACGGCAGCACGGGAGCAAUCCUGGUGGCGAGUGGCGAACGGGUGAGUAAUAUAUCGGAACGUGCCCAGUAGUGGGGGAUAACUGCUCGAAAGAGCAGCUAAUACCGCAUACGACCUGAGGGUGAAAGGGGGGGAGCGCAAUACCUCUCGCGAUUGGAGCGGCCGAUAUCAGAUUAGGUAGUUGGUGGGGUAAAGGCCUACCAAGGCAACGAUCAGUAGUUGGUCUGAGAGGACGACCAGCCACACUGGGACUGAGACACGGCCCAGACUCCUACGGGAGGCAGCAGUGGGGAAUUUUGGACAAUGGGCGCAAGCCUGAUCCAGCAAUGCCGCGUGCAGGAAGAAGGCCUUCGGGUUGUAAACUGCUUUUGUCAGGGAAGAAAUCCUCUAGGUUAAUACCCUUGGGGGGAUGACGGUACCUGAAGAAUAAGCACCGGCUAACUACGUGCCAGCCGCCGCGGUAAGAC